rnacentral:rRNA from 1 species
UGGGGAAUAUUGCACAAUGGGCGCAAGCCUGAUGCGGCGACGCCGCGUGAGGGAUGACGGCCUUCGGGUUGUAAACCUCUUUCACCAGGGACGAAGCGUAAGUGACGGUACCUGGAGAAGAAGCACCGGCCAACUACGUGCCAGCAGCCGCGGUAAUACGUAGGGUGCGAGCGUUGUCCGGAAUUACUGGGCGUAAAGAGCUCGUAGGUGGUUUGUCGCGUUGUUCGUGAAAACUCACAGCUUAACUGUGGGCGUGCGGGCGAUACGGGCAGACUAGAGUACUGCAGGGGAGACUGGAAUUCCUGGUGUAGCGGUGGAAUGCGCAGAUAUCAGGAGGAACACCGGUGGCGAAGGCGGGUCUCUGGGCAGUAACUGACGCUGAGGAGCGAAAGCGUGGGGAGCGAACA